CAGCCGCCGCGGGAAUACGAAGGGGGCUAGCGUUGCUCGGAAUUACUGGGCGUAAAGGGCGCGUAGGCGGCCAUUCAAGUUAGAUGUGAAAGCCCUGGGCUCAACCUAGGAAUUGCAUUUGAUACUGUUUGGCUUGAGUUCGGGAGAGGUGAGUGGAAUUCCCAGUGUAGAGGUGAAAUUCGUAGAUUUUGGGAAGAACACCAGUGGCGAAGGCGGCUCACUGGACCGACACUGACGCUGAGGCGCGAAAGCGUGGGGAGCAAACAGGAUUAGAUACCCCCGUAGUCCCUGUCUCUUAUAC
rnacentral:rRNA from 1 species